CCUAACCCAUCUUGUCAAUAAAGCCAAACCCCUGGAUAAUCUUAUAUUCAACACCAGAUUAUAGUAGUAAUCACAGAGCAGAGCAAAAUGUAUCUCUGUGUAUAUAAUGCUAAAAUAAAAUACAUUUUAUAAUAAAUAUUAUGAUACUUGAAAUACUGAACUGUGAAAUGCCAAAUAAAGCCUGUUCCACCUUAUGUGCAGUUAUUGUCUUCACCUAUAUUGCAUGUGUCUAAAUUACUCUGCUUAAAAUUAAAUACAAAUUGCAUAUAAAUUGCCACAUUAUGCCACAUAUGGUGUGUGUUACUGUUAAUGUCUGUUCAUUAAAACCUCUGGUGUGCUUGA